rnacentral:lncRNA from 1 species
GGCAGAUGAGUCUCAAGUCUGCGGUGUAGAGACAUUGGGGUGAGAGUGCGGGUGGUUGUUAAAGAACAACUUGCACUGAGCGUGACCAACACGAGAAACCACUUGGAUGUCUACUCACUCGUUAGUAGUUUUCUCGAUGCUACAGUAGUGUGACUGGUCCUUUGACCUAUGGUGUAUUGGCUAUUCGCAAUGAGGCUACUUAGUUUGACUAUACGUUUCUUUGGUCCCUAGCCAUUCAGAUCCUUAC